GCAUUAAUGGGGUAGUGGUAACCUGGGUCGUUGCCAUAUUGAUGAUAUUGGUGUGCGCAUACCACCAGCUCUGGAUUCGACCCGCCGGGAGUUCGAUUCUCUCUUAAUGCA